rnacentral:rRNA from 1 species
UACGAAGGGGGCUAGCGUUGCUCGGAAUCACUGGGCGUAAAGCGCACGUAGGCGGACUCUUAAGUCAGGGGUGAAAUCCCGGGGCUCAACUCCGGAACUGCCUUUGAGACUGCAUCGCUUGAAUCCGGGAGAGGUGAGUGGAAUUCCGAGUGUAGAGGUGAAAUUCGUAGAUAUUCGGAAGAACACCAGUGGCGAAGGCGGCUCACUGGACCGGUAUUGACGCUGAUGUGCGAAAGCGUGGGGAGCAAACAGG